CCUAGGGGUGGCAGCAGUGGGGAAUAUUGGACAAUGGGCGAAAGCCUGAUCCAGCCAUGCCGCGUGUGUGAAGAAGGCCUUCGGGUUGUAAAGCACUUUCAGUGGGGAAGAAAGCCUUGGGGCUAAUACCCUCGAGGAAGGACAUCACCCACAGAAGAAGCACCGGCUAACUCCGUGCCAGCAGCCGCGGUAAUACGGAGGGUGCGAGCGUUAAUCGGAAUUACUGGGCGUAAAGCGCGCGUAGGCGGUCUGAUAAGCCGGUUGUGAAAGCCCCGGGCUCAACCUGGGAACGGCAUCCGGAACUGUCAGGCUAGAGUGCAGGAGAGGAAGGUAGAAUUCCCGGUGUAGCGGUGAAAUGCGUAGAGAUCGGGAGGAAUACCAGUGGCGAAGGCGGCCUUCUGGACUGACACUGACGCUGAGGUGCGAAAGCGUGGGUAGCAAACAGGAUUAGAUACCCCUGUAGUC
rnacentral:rRNA from 1 species